rnacentral:lncRNA from 1 species
UAAACUUUUAGACUCCAGCAUCUGUGAAUAUUUAUGCAGGCAAAUUUGAAUGUGACCAUGUAAAACAUGCAAGUCAAGCUGUAGAGAAUUCCUUUAUAAAUCCAAAUAUUUGGAAGAUUUUUUUUUUCUUCUUUUGGCUGUAGCUGGGGCAAAACUCUGUCAUAAGACAAACAUAAUUACAUACUCCAGCUCUGAGGUUUUCUAUAGUCCAGCAUCCAUCUUUCUGGUCUAACGCCUCUGGCUGGACCAUUUGCGAUCGGGUUCCAGUCUAAGAGAUCUCCUUUGUGAUGUCUUGACUUUCGUAGUAUUCAAAUAUAGAGGUUAUUUUCACCUCCUCCACUGCCU